rnacentral:lncRNA from 1 species
UCACAUCUCAGGAAUAACAGUAUUGUAAAUUCUUGGGGUGUGACACGAGGAUAUGGCCCGCAUGGUCUCUAAUGAGAAUCCCGCUCCCUGAGGGGCCAAGGUUACUCAGAGAGCAUCCAUCAAAGUUCAGUUUAGUAUGCCCUGGGAUAGGUGAAUUCCAAAGGGUAGCACAGGGAAUAUGAGCUUUUCUAGUAGAGUAAGGCUUCCCAGUCUUGGAAGGAUGCUGAGUGGGGUAUUCCAUUGAGCAGUUUGUGAUUAGUUGCCCCAAAAAUAACCUGGGAUCUAAUCUUGUCAAACAUUACACCCAGCAAGGACCUUUCUCCAAGGAUUAUUUUGUUGCUACACUCGUUCCAAAGGAUCCAAAGGGCAAUAGCAACUGAGGCCUUCCAUAAGAAAAUAUCAGCUUUGGGCCAAGGGAAAGGAUGGAGGGAGCAAAAGGGAAGUGGAACUGAGUUGGGUGUGACCCAUUGACACUUAAAAGAGGAGAAGGACCCCAAAAAUCUCGUGAGCAACAGGACAAAUGUGGGCAUUGCUUUCUUCAUCUGCACAGCACAACAUGCACCUAUUAUGGAUGGUCAGACCCCUUGUUUGAAGCUGGUCAACAGUACGGGCCCUUUCGGACAAAGCCAACUAGUUAAAUACUUGGAUUUUUGCUGGGGAAAUGGAAGACCAAGAUUGGGCUACAAUGGAAGUAGGAGAUAGGGGGAAGUUUAUGACAAAAGGAGUAGACUAAGAAUGCCCCCGAUGAGCUCGGGGUCCAAAUGAUAAGGUCACUACCCUGAUGGGUGAGGAACAGUGAGGGAACCUUUUUUCAGCUAUCUAUACAUAUCUUAUGUGUGAUGUAAGACACACUUGUAGUCAUCAAUUGUAUGUUAUCAAGUCCGAUAGUUGAAAUGAACCAUGUUCUUGGAUGAAUGCAGUCCUUGGAACUUAGCUAUAAUUUGACCUUCCUUGAAUAUGGUGCAGGUUACAUAUGACACUAUAUCUGGGAUUUCCAAUUUCAAUGACAGUUUUACUUUAAUUAUUCGCCCACAGAAUUUGGAAUCUCAGUUACAGUUACACAUGGAAACAUGUUUGGAUAAUAGAGAUCUGGAUCUCAUUAAUUUGGGAUCUAAAUCCUCAAAUUUGCAGAUCUAGAUCCUCAAUUUCACAUAUCAAGAUCUUCAAUUUUGGGGAUCGAGAUCCCUAAAUCAAUAAACAAUUGGAAUCGAGAUCCCAUGUCUCAGAGCGCCGUAUCAAGCUUCCAAAGCAGGAUCGAUCCUUUGGUUAGGGACUCCCAGUAACUACGUAAUUGACCAUUCACUUAUGUUGGGAAGGUGUUCAAGUGUGGGUCCAAAUUGUGCAGCUAGCCCAAACAUGGGCGUAUGUAACUGCCAUAGCCAUGUCAGAGUGGGCAAGUUCACAAGUAAUGGCCCUUUGUGGCAUUGGAAUAGGUUCACCAAAAUGGAAACCAAGCCUUAAUGAGCCACGAUGGACAGGCCAUUUAUGCCAAGGCUUGAAUUUGUCACUACCACCAGGUGCUGGGCACUAUUGGUGUAGACCAGAGCCAUGCAAUUAAUGGCCAGGAACCUUAAGGGAAAUCCGUGACUGUAUACAAGCAAUUGUAGUAAUGUAAAGUGAAAUAAGUUGCACCACCACACUUUCCUGUACUACAUUCCUCUUGUGUGUGAUUGUGGAAAGCAGGCUUAGCCAUGGUUUGGGUCCCACUUAGGCUAGAUGUCACCCAGUUUGGCUCAAGUCUAAAUUAGCCCCCUUGGCAACAAUCUUCCACAAUAAGGCCAUCAAAUCUUCAGGAACGCUGUCAAGUUACAUGUGUAAGCUGAAGCAUAGUUGCAAGGGAACUUAAUGUGGAUGGGAAGCUUGUUUAUUGAGUGAAUGAUUCAGAAACUACACCAUUUCACACAUUUCAGAGGAACAAUUUUUCAUUGCAUGCUCCUAUGUAGCGUUCAUCACAAUUCUUGGACUGAUUCCCGUUUUGAAGCAUGUCCAUAAUCAACCCCUGGUUUCUAGCUCCAAUUUAGUACUUAUUGAGUCGUCUCUGAAUCCCAUUUCGUGUUCCAAAAUAAUGGGCUGAGCUCAUUGCAAGUUUAGAAAAUGCCACCGCACUGCAGUUCAUAUCAUAAAUACCAGCACCGGGAGUGAGGUCAAAUCGCAAAUCGGGAUUGGAACGUACAUCGUGAGUUGAAUGGAUCAUGAUCCCAGUAUGAAGGAAGCGCGAUCCAAAUUUGUCCAUGAUCGAAUUAUAAAAAUAUAUCAGAUUGAGGUCCAUCCAGCUUAGAAUUGAGGCCUCCCCAAGAGCACUUAGCUCGGGAACAAAGUUUGUUGAAGGAUAUGAUGGAUGUUUUUUUUAUAAUUGAAAAACCGAAGCAUUAUUAAAUACAAACAAUCCUGAUUUUUAAAAUAUAUUUUAACUCUUUGUUAUCACUGGAAUGCGAGUGAGAAGUAAAACUGAAAACCAAAAAUGAGGAUUCAAAUUUCAGUCUUCAGGCAUGGAAGAAGCUUUAGUGUUUGAUGAAAAUGCGAUAUCCUUGUUUUCCCUUGUUUGGGUCCUUACAUGUGAUUGGGCAUGAAACUGGUCAAACACUCUUUAGAUUUGGAGGAAAAAAAUGGGUCCAGAGGGAAAGAAAGGUUCAACCUGCAAAGGUCCUUGUAAUGGUGGAUAUGCUCAAUGAGAGGGCAUUAGAGACAAAAUUCAAUUGUAAAAAGCUUAUAGAGGUUCCAGUAAGUGAAACGAAAAGGAUUUAGGAUAGAACAAGGCGAAGCUUUAGCUCUACAGCUAUUCUGCUUCAUCUAACAAUUCCCUAACAUAUUAUGACAGCAACUUGUAUGUUAUAGUGUUUAUUUUCAUGAUUUACAGGCUCAAAGUUCAAACCUCAAGCUUCAAACCCUCUUUGCCUUUCUAGGCAUUCGGGCUGUUUCUCAACUGGUUGAUCUCUAUACAAAAACCCAAUUCAUAUUUCAGAAUUUUUAGAGAAAUAUGCUCUUGCACACACACACACACACACACAAAGAGAGAGAGAGAGAGAGAGAGAGAGAGAGAGAGUAGUAGGUGGUAGGAGGUAGUAGGAGUAGGUAGGGUAGGGGUAGGGAGGUACGUAGUACGACGACGUACGUAAGUAGUGGUCGUAGGUAGGUAACGUAACGUUACGUUACGUUACCGUUACCGGUUACGGGNNNNNNNNNNNNNNNNNNNNGUAACGUAACGUAACGUAACGUAACGAACCGAACGAACGAACGAACGAACGAACGAACGAACGAACGAAGAGAAGAGAGAGAGAGAGAGAGAGGGAGAGAGAGAGAGAGAGAGGUUAUGGGGUCAGGGAGUUAGAGGAUGAGUGGGGGAGGAGUCAUGACACUCGAAAUGUGCUGGUGAAUACUUGAUUCCACCUUGGUGGAGGCUCGAUUCCACUAAUCAUGGAUCCAUCAUAUGGGUGGGACAGAUCUAGAUCCUCAAUUUGGCAGAUCGAGAUCGCUAAAUUCAAAAAACAUCUGAAAUUGAUUUCCCGUAUCCCGAAGCACAGGAUCAAGCAUCCAGAGCAAGAGCAACCACCUUCCUUCUUACGAGACCCCGGGUACAAAAAUUCGGCCGCCCAGCCUCCUAGGCAGCCAUUUUCUCAAAUCGCCUAGGCGCCCACCCAGUACCACCCUUUUUAAGUACUCUCUCUAUGGCUUUAUGGUUUUGAACUUUUUUCUGCUUUUUAUUUUUUUUUGACAAGCAUGUGUUACUACUUUUAUUAAUCCUUGGUUUCAUGAGGGACCACCCACCAAUGGUUUAAUUCCAACACACCAAAAUAUUUCAGGCUUUGCUUUCAAGAAACCUAUACAUGGAAUAUCUCCUCCUUUAGUUGAUUAUAAUUUAUAGUCACCAUCAAUUUUCUCUUUCACUAUUUUUAACUUUUUUACUUUUACCACCCCGUCACUUUGCACAUGGAGCACUCUUGCAUUGCCACCUAAUCUACUCAUCAAUCAAUGCUUCAUUUUUGUCUCCCCUUGUGUUGCCAAGAUUAUGUUGUCCUUUUCCCAUGUCAAAACUCUCUCUCUCUCUCUCAUACAUAUAUAAAUAUGUCACAUAAAGAAACUUCCUGCCUCCUUUUGGUCCCCCAAAACAAAGUGCCGCCUAGGUAUCUGGGCGGCCACCUCCGCAUUCUUGAACAUUGGUUCAAAUAAUCUAUGUGACCUAUAAAUGGUGGUGUGCAUUCAUGCAACUUCCUAAAAUGAAGUCAAACAGGUCAUACAACAAAUUGGUAAAUAUUAAGUUAUUCUACACACAUAUUAAAAUGUUAUAGAUAUCGGCAAAGUUUGGAUUUCAACUAAUCACUUAAAGUACCCUAUGUAGAUAAUCAAACAACACUGAAUCGAUGUGUUUAAUCAAC